GAUGAACGCUGGCGGCGUGCCUAAUACAUGCAAGUCGAGCGAACGGACGAGAAGUUUGCUUCUCUGAUGUUAGCGGCGGACGGGUGAGUAACACGUGUAUAACCUACCUAUCAGACUGGUAUAAUUACGGGAAACCGGAGCUUAUACCGGAUAAUAUUUUGAACCGCAGGGUUCAAAAGUGAAAGUCGGUCUUGCGGUCACAUAUAGAUGGAUCCGCGCUCCAUUAGCUGGUUGGUAAGGUAACGGCUUACCAAGGAGACGAUGCUUAGCCGAGCGGUAGGGGUGGUGGGCGACAUGGGAAGUGAGACACAGACCAGACUUCUACGGUAGGCAGCAGAAGGGAAUCUUCCGCAACGGGGGAAAACCUGACGGAGCAAAGCCGCGUCAGUGCUGAAGGUCCUCGGACCGUAAAACUCUGCUAUUAGGGAAGAACAUAUGUGUAAGUAAAUGAGCACAUAUUGACGUUACCUAAUCAGAAAGCCCCGGCUAACUACGUG
rnacentral:rRNA from 1 species